UUGAUUGGAAUCGGUGAAUUAGAAACUGAAGAAGACAACUACCUGGUUGAGAAACAGCUAUCUUGAAAGCCUUAGUCCGAGAUCUCUGAUCAUUCCCAUCCAUGCAUAAUUUGAUAACUAUCUUUUGCUGGUCCAAUUUAUGAAAUUAUGUCAGAUAAUCACAUCUCAACCAAUACUACAAAAUAAGAAGUAAUACAAAGUACAUAUCGUAGAAUUAAAACUCAGAUUAAUUUUAUAUUUAAGAUUUAAGACAUGCAUACUUUCAUUUUACUAAUCUUGAUUGAGAACUUGGUUUGCAAUAUAACCAGUAGGGAAAUUUUUUGGAGUAUUU
rnacentral:lncRNA from 1 species